GCCUGGGUGGCUCAGUCAGUUAGGCGUCUGACUUUGGCUCAGGUCAUGAUCUCGUGGUUUGUGGGUUCGAGCCCCAUGUCGGGCU
rnacentral:tRNA from 1 species